rnacentral:lncRNA from 1 species
UUGUGGUGAACAUGAGGCAUAUUUUUCUUUCUGUUUCCAUUCUAUGUCCCUGGAAAACAUUGUUGAUUCUUUUCACUCCUGCUCCCUGAGUCCAGAGGUAACUUCAAAAUACUUGUCAACACAGGAGGACCUAAGCAGCUACUACCAAUCUGUUGGCUUUGUCAUAACAAUGAUUAUUGAUUCCCUGCUCUGGAUGCUUGAAAGUUCGGUAUGCUAUUUUAUCAGAUGCAGUUGGAUGGGAGCCAAGGCCUUAACUGUUGCCUCUGAGUCUGCUGGUUUCUAGUAACAGAGGUGUAGAGCACACCCGGGGUGUCUCAUCCAUGGGUUCUAGUUUUGGUUUCUUUCAAGUGAAGUGAAAACAUAAAGACCCCUGUAAAGUAACCUAUGUUCAGAAUCCUUUCCCAUUUCUAUAAACUUUACUUUGUUCAUACCUAGUAUAUCUGCAAUAUUUUUUGGGGGGGGAGGAGGCUCACCUUUAUCGGGUUUUGCAAAGGCAUUCAACUUGGUUUUCAUAGAAACAACAACUCUCUUCUUUGAGAGCUCACAUUUCAUCAGCUUACAUAAUGUUUAAUUAAGUUGCAUAAUUAAAAAUAACCCGGUAUAAACAGGUUUGGGAACAAUCCUACUGAUUUUCAGGAGCGUACAACAAACCAGUGGGAACAGAAUAUGCAAGCAUAGCUGAGCUUUCAACUUUUCCUGAGCCUUGGUCAAUAUAUGUACAGAUGCAGCAGAAUAGGGUCUACUGAUCCUCAGUCCGUAAAACAGAGAUCAGUUAGAGACCUCACUAUCCAACACAUGCACCUAACUCUCAUAAAUAACUACAGUGGAGCACAUGGGUGACUCAGUGGUUGAGCAUCUGCCUUUGGUUCAGGAUGUGAUCCCAGGAUUCUGGGAUUGAGUCUCGUAUCAGGUUCCUUGUAGGGAGCCUGCUUCUCCCUCUGCCUAUGUCUCUGCCUCUUCUUGUGUGUCUCUCAUGAAUAAAUAAAAUCUUUAAAAAAAAAAAAAACUAUGGCAUGUUUUUCUUUUUAAUGCAUGUUUUCUUUUAUUUUUUUGCAUGUUAUCUUUUAAAAAGAGAAACCAAUAAGCUCUGAAUAUCCUCAUUACUUUUUGGGAAGCAUGAGAAGAGCAAAUAAUUUUUAAUGGGGUGAGUUUGUUUUUUUUUAACAAACACACCAGAGAAUCAUGCAAUAUUGCCAGCAUUGGACACAAUCCUGGGCCCCAAGUCUGCACACCCCUUUGUAACUGGUUCUAUGAUGGCAGAAACUUUCAUCUCACUUUAAUUGUUUGUUAUUAUUUACUGUGGUACCCAAGUAAUGAUCAUAAUAAAGGAACACAUCAUCUUUCUCCAGGAUGACUUUCAGAAUUGAAUUACUUUUGAAUUCAAUUGACAAAAAAAAAAAAAAAAUUGAAUUACUCUGUUGGCUGAACCUUCUUUCCGAGCUCUGGUUUGCCUUUCCUUGACUGUGGCCAUCACCAGAUCACCCACACCAGCAGUGAGAAGUCUGUUUGGUCAUCCCUUCACCCCACUUCUCAGAGGUGAUACAUAGAAUUUUGGCUCCUGUGUUAUCAGCAUAGUUGGUCAUGGCUCCUACCAAAAUACCCAAGGAAAUGGAGAAUUUUGCACUGGAGGACUUACCACAUCCUUGCUUCUAUACCUUGAACACAGUAAAAGACCACAUUGCUAUUUUUAAAAUUUUUAAAAAUUUAUUAUGAACAAUAAAUACAUAGAAUUGACCCUUCUGGGCAACCCUGGUGGCCCAGCGGUUUAGCACCGCCUUCAGCCCAGGGUGUGAUCCUGGAGACCCGGGAUUGGUUCUGCGUGGGGCUCCCUGCGUGGAGCCUGCUUCUCCCUCUGCCUGUGUCUCUACCUCUUUCUCUGUAUCUCUCAUGAAUAAAUAAAUAAAAAUUAAAAAAAAAAGACUUGAUCCUUCUAACCCUGUAUGAGUAUAUAAAUUCAGUGGCAUUAAGUAGAGUCUCAUGUUGUGCAAGUAUCAGCACUAUCUUCAGAACUUUUUCAUCACCCCUAACAGAAACUCUUUUACCCACUGACUCCCCAUUCCCUAUUUCUUCUCAGUCACUAGCAACCACUAAUUCUACUUUCUCUCUCUAUGCAUUUAACUACAAAAUAUACCUCAUAUAAGUGGAAUCACAUCAUACUCAUCCUUUUGUGCCUAACUUCUUUCUCUUAGCAUCAAGUCUUCCAUGUUCAUUCAUGUUGUCUUGUUGCUUUCUAAAUGACUUCCCCACUCAGACCACACAUCACAGUCUAGAGUCUUCUAUACAUUUCCAUGAAGACCAUUUUGAGGUUGCCUUUCUUUCCAGCCUUCUGGAAUGUGAUAGUCAGGUAGUCACCUGCACCCUCAGCCCUCAUGCAUGUGCCAGCUGUGGGCUUUUUACGAAGACUACCUCACAGUCCCCCAGACAUGGCUGUUGGGUCACAUUUGUCCUUUCCAAGGUUCUAGGAUUUUCAAAUGCCUAUUAAAUCUUCUGCAACAAUCAAUUCAAAUACACAAGUUUGGCUAUUCAAAUUACUUUUUCCAAAAGUACUUUAAAAUGCAUUAAGUUAUUAAUUGCCUGCUGGCACUUUAAUCAAAUGGGAAAAUUGACAUAGCCAGAGGCAUGUAUUUUUGUGGAAAGAAAAUUUAUUUAAGAAGAAACAGCAGCUCUUACUGCUUAAUUUAAACUGAGAAAACUGUGGAAAAUCAACUGCUAUGGAAAAUUAAUAAAACAUUUCCAGCUGCAAACAGUGACUAAUUGUACAAGAUGAAGACUGCCCGGAAUUAAUAACUUGCAGUCUUCUGUGUGAAGAACCCCCCACCACUUCAAUUUACUGGGAGAUUAAAUUACUUCUAAGUUUGCCAUAUUAAAACAGAACAUGAAUAAAACGUUAGUGAACGCACCUCUAUUAUUUACUGUCUGUGAUAUGGAUAUAAUUAUUUCCAAACAACUACAAUGUGACGUGACCAGUAAUAUUUAAAUGACUCUUUUAGCAAGAGAAUCUACUACAACAUUUUUUACUCAAAGGAGAAAAAAUCCUUCUCUUACUUCUAAAGUAAUAAAAUGAUGACUAGUGGCCUUCUACGGAUGGUAAGUCCCUGCUCCAAAGGGCUGAAACAUGCUCAGUGUCCGAGCCUAUACUCCUUUCUGCAUCAGAUAUUGCUUUGGGAGGGCAUGUGCAGCAGAAAAUUGUAGGAACUCAUUUAUAAGCUCGGUGCUUAAAUAGAAGCUGGUCACAUACUCCUGAAGAAACCAGUGUAGAUGCUUCAAGGCUUCUACUCAUGCCUGGUGUGACCAUGAGCACGUGCACCCAACAGAAUAGAUUUCUUUAUGAGAGGGAAAAGGAAGGGCCAGAACUCUUUCCUGAGGUAAUGGGGUUUGCUCAUAAGGGACAUACAUUAGCACAGGCCCCACCAACAUCAUGGUCAUAUCCUCCAAGCUUGUUUAAAAUGGUGCAUUCCUGUUAGGCUUGGUGAUAAAAUGAGGAUUAAAUAACAUUAACAAAUUUUGUCCCUUUUCUAUCUUUUGUUGCCAGGAUUGGAUUAUUUUCUUGACUCCAGUACCUAGAGGGUCUGUCAAUUUUCCUCAUGCUUUCAAACUCCGAGAUCUUGAGAAAUAAGAUAGUGUGAGAGGAUCCAUUCAACGAACAGGAGAGAUCUGUUCAAGUGAGAGGGAUAAAGGAAAGGAAUUCAGAAAAAAAAAAUUCUAUUUUUAUGGAGUGAUGGGAUGUCUUUAGGUUUGUUUUGUUUGUUUGUUUUAAAAAUUUUAGAGGUCAGAAAAUAACUCAAGAAGCCAAGAGGGAAUGAGACAAUUUGAUACGUGUGUGGAGGAGACGUAUCAAAGAUGGAGAUUUUCUCAGCAGAGAGGCAUUGCCUCCUUUGGCUGUUUUUCCUUUAAGCUCACACAGAGGGUACAUUCAGCCUCUUGCCAUUUGAUAUUGCUGGCAGGAAGGUCCGAGUAUUGGCCUGGAGAGAAUAAAGGCAUGUUGUUUAGAAAUGCAGAGGCUUAACCUGAAGCAUAACUGGUUUGGGGUUUACCACAGAAGUUAUCUGGACAUAUCAUUUGAUUUCCAGGUUUUAAAUGUAAUUCUACACAAGAUCUGGCCACACAGCUCUCCACUGUGUGACACAGAGAGACUUUAUCUGCCACCAAAUGCCAUUCAGGCUUAAAGCUGUAGCAGUGAAUUGUAUAAAUUGGGGUAUUCUUUGAGGCCCGAAAGCAUUAUGGCCUCUCUGAGGAGGAGAGAUGAGGCCUGCUUCCUCCUCCCUGUUGCUCAGGCAAGACACUUUAGAGGUUGUUCCUCUCUACAUAUUUGGGUUCAUUUCAGUUUUCCUUUUUUUCGAAACACUUGAGACUUGCUUUAAGCAGACCAAGCACUACCUAGAGGCCCAGUGGGCAGCUGUAAAUAGCACUGGAUUUGAGAAGUCAUGGGGAAGGUUCCUUGGGAAAGCCUGCCCUCCCUGCUGGCAAAUAUGGGACAAUAAAUUGAUUUGUACUUCUGUUAGUGAUAGCUACCAAGCAACGUUUGAAGGCAUAGAUCACUCUGUCCUGAAGGGGAAAGUAUUAUUAGGGAAGGCAAUAGAAUGGAAGAAAGGACACAAAGUCAGACUGCCUGGGGCCUGAAUUAGCCAAUCCUUUUAGAAGUGGCAGACUGACCUUAACUUCUGGCCUCACAUAUCAUUUCAUCUAUGGUGUUUGCCGCAGCUUUGAAUUUAAACAGAAUAUUUUAAAAACAAAUUUCCCAAUGGAAUUGUCUAUACUCAGCGUCCCCAACUCCCUUCAUUUUGUUGAACCCACUUAAGUCAUCUCUGCUGCCCAUUCAGAAUUGCCUUUGUCAAUAUCACCAUGAUCUUCAUGUUGCCAAAUCCAUGUUGACAAUGCCUGGUACCCAUGUUAUUUGGCUAGCAAGAUCAUCUGAUCCAGUUGGUCUCUCUUUCCUCCCUAAAACAUUUUUUUA